GUCCACGCCGUAAACGAUGAAUACUAGGUGUGGGGGACUGACCCCUUCCGUGCCGGAGUUAACACAAUAAGUAUUCCACCUGGGGAGUACGGUCACAAGACUGAAACUCAAAGGAAUUGACGGGGGCCCGCACAAGCAGUGGAUUAUGUGGAUUAAUUCGACGCAACGCGAAGAACCUUACCAGGAUUUGACAUCCUACUAACGAAGUAGAGAUACAUUAGGUGCCCUUCGGGGAAAGUAGAGACAGGUGGUGCAUGGUUGUCGU
rnacentral:rRNA from 1 species